UUUUUUUUUUUUUGUAUUUCAGCAAUAUCUGUUGAGAUUUCUCCUUUUUCACUUAUUUUGUUUAUUUGGGCUCUUCCUCUCCUCUCCUCUCCUUGCUGAGUCUGGUCAAAGGUUGUCAUUUUUGUUUACCCUUUCAAAGAACCUGCUCUUGAUUUUAUUGAUUUUUUUCCUAUUGUUCUUUGAAUCUCUAUUUUAUUGAUUUCCUCUCUGAUCUUUAUGAUUAUCUUCCUCCUGCUGACUUUAGGUUUUGAUUGUCCUUCUUUUUCAAGUUUUUUUAGGUGGUGGGCUAAGUUGUCAAUUUAAGAUUUUUCUUCUUUCAUUGAGGAUGGCCGGUAUUGCAAUGAAAUCCCCUCUAAGCACUGCUUUUUCAACAUCCCAUAAAUUUUGAAUGGUUGUGCUUUCAUUAUCAUUUGUCUCAAGAUAUUUUUUUAAUUUAUUUUUUUAUUUCCUCAUUGACCCAUUGGUUUUUCAGUUACAACAUGUUUAGUCUCCAUGCAGUCAGUUGUUUCUCAUUUCUUUUCCUGUAGUUGAUUUCUAGUUUCAUGUCAUUGUGGUCAGAGAAGAUACUUGAAAUAAUUCCUAUACUCUUAAAUUUGUUGAGGUUAGUUCUGUGCCCCAGUAUGUGGUCAGUUCCAGAGAAUCUUCCAUGUGCACUUGAAAAGAAUGUAUAUUCUGAUUAUUUUUUGGAUGUAAUGUCCUGAAAAUAUCAAUUAAAUCUAACUUUUCUAUUGUGUCAUUUAGGAUCUCUGUUGCCUUAUUGAUUCUCUGUCUAGAGGAUCUGUCCAUUGAAGUUAGUGAGAUGUUAAAGUCUCCUACUAUUAUUAUAUUCCCAUCAAUUUCUUCUUUUAUAUCUGUUAGUAUCUGUUGUAUGUAUCUGGAUGCUCCUAUAUUAGGGGCCUAUAUAUUGAUGAUUGUAAAAUGGUCUUGAAUAUUCAUUUUAUCAUUAAAUACUGUCCUUCUUUGUAUUUCCUUAUGGACUUUGUUUUAAAGUUUAUUUUGUCUGACAUGAGUAUUGCAAUUCCUGCUUUCCCGUCUCUUCCAUUGGCAUGAAAUAUGUUUUCCCAUCCCCUUUCAAUUUAUAUGCGUUCUUUGCCCUAAGGUGAGUCUCUCAUAAAUAGCAUGUUUUAGACUGUUUCUUUUUUAUCCAAUCUGUCACUCUGUGUCUUUUGAUUGGAGCAUUCAAUCCAUUGACUUUUAAGGUAAUUAUUGAUAAAUAUGUAUUUAUUGCCAUUUUAAACCUUCUUUUCCAGUUGAUACUGUCUCUUCUUUGUUGCUUUUUUGUUGUUGUUGUUGUUAUAUGAUUUCCUUUUAUUCUAUGCUUCUGUCCUUUUCAUUUUAGUUUUUGUGAAUGUAAUGUUUGGUUUUGAUUUGUGUUGCCCUGUAUGUUAACCCUGUUCUAUAUCUGCUUGCUUUAGCCUGAUAGUCAUAUAGGCUCAAAAACAGUAUUAAAAAAAAAAAGAGUCUAGAUUUUCUUACUCUCUUUCACAUAUUUUAUGUCCUUUUUAAACCUUUUUUGUCCUUUUACUAUUCAUUGUUCCUUUUGCUGUUCCUUUUUUGUCCUUUUGCUGUUCUUAGUUUUUAUCAUCACUUUUAUAAGAGGUCCCCCCCCCUUUUAGAUCUGUAUACUGGCUUAUUUAAAUGAUUGCUUUCCUAUUGUGAUUUCCUCUAUCCCAUUUCUUCUUACUUCUUUUUUAUUUAGAGGAGACCUUUCCGUAUUUCUUACAAAUUACAUUUUAUUAUUGAUGUAUUCUUUUAGUUUUUGUUUGUUGGAGUAAUUCUUUAUUUCUCCUUCUAUUUUAAAUGAUAUUUUUGCUGGGUAGAGUAUUCUAAGUUACAACUUUUUCCCUUUUAGAACUUUGAGUAUAUCUUGCCACCCUCUUCUGGCCUGUAGUGUUUCUGUAGAAAAAUCACCUGAUAACCUUAUGGGGCUUAUAAUUCCCUUAAUUAACUCUUUUUCUCUUGCUGACUUCAGAAUCCUUUCUUUAACUUUUGCCAUUUUUAUCAUAAUAUGUCUUGGUGUGGGCCUGUUUGGGUUCAACUUGUUUGGAGCCCUCUGGGCUUCCCGUAUCUGUUUCCUUUAGAUUUGGUAAGUUCUCAGCCAUAAUUUCUUCAAAUAUAUUUUAAAUCCCCUUUUCUUUUUCCUUUCCUUCUGGAAUCCUGAUUAUGCAUAGAUUGCCCUGUUUUAUAUUAUCCCAUAGAUCUCUGAUAUUGCUUUCAUGUUUUUUCAUUCGGUUUUCUGUCUGCUGUGCUGAUUAGGUGAUUUCCAUUACUCUAUCUUCCAAGUCACUAAUUCAUUUUUCUGGAUUCAUUCUGCUCUUUAAUGCCUUUACCUCAGUUUGUGUCUCUGCAAAUGAAUUUUCUAAUUUUUCUUGUCUCCUCCUAAUAUUUUCUAAUUCCUUUCUAAAGUAGUCUGUAUUACUGUUUAUAUCUGUUCUUAAUUCCUUCAUAUUCACCCUUAAUUCCUUCAGUAUUUUCAAUAUCUCCUUUUUGAACUCGGUGUCUAUUAGACUGCAGAGGUCUGUUUCAUUGUUUGCUGCUUCAGGUGAAUUCUCCUAUUCUUUUAACCAGGAAUGGUUCCAGAGCUUCUUCAUUUCACUUAUAUUUUUCUGAUUCUGUGUUUAUAGAAACCAACUACUGUAGUCUUGGCGGAUUGUUUCUAUGUAAGAGUGCCCCUUUGUAUUUUGGGGGGGCAUACUUUUUAUUUUGGGUGUGGGAAUUUGGAUAUUUGCUAUCUCUUUCUUCAAUGUGAGCAAGCUGUUAUCCCCCUGACAGGGUGCUGAUUGUGCUUCCAGGGAGAAGGUAGCAAUGGGCAGUGCUAGUAGUCAGUGCCUAGUUGCUGGGCUUUUGAUAAGGACCUGCAGGAAGAUGGCACGGGCUACUCCUAGUUGCAGGGCCCUGGGAAGUGGUAAUGGGCCUCAGGCAGACUUAGGCAGUGCCUAGAACAUUUGGCAGUGGCAGUGGCAGGGUGUGUCAGUUCCUCGGAGCAUGAGAGCAACAAUGGGUGGGUUUUGGUCACAAUGCCCUCCUCUGUGGUGCCCUCUGAGGUAAUCUGGGCCACAAGUGGUGCCUAUUUAUGGACCUCUAGUGGUGGCAGGCCAUGCCAACCUCUGGAGACAGAGAUGACUGUAGUGGUGUGUCCCUGCCACCAGUAAACCUCUCAAGAAGCACCUCAUCCCACUUAGCCCAUACAAGAGGUGCUGUACAGGCUGCUCCUAGUUACAGGGUCCUGGUAAGUGACAGUCAUCAGGCAUAUGUGGGUGCUGCCCAAAGCAUUUGGCAGUGACAGCGGCAGGGCAGGUGUGUUCUCAGGCGAGUGAAAGCAACAAUGGUUGGUGCUUGGUUGCAGUGCCUUCUUUUCUGUCAACCUCUGAGGUUACUGGGACAUAGGUGGAGCCUGCUCACCGACCCCUAGUGUUGGCAUGCCACUCCCCCCUCCAGUUCUGAGAUGACUGCUAUGCUUUGUCUCCACUGCCUGUAGAUCAUGCAAGAGACACCAUGUCAUGAUUAGCCCCCUGCUGCCCUUAGCCCACCUAAGAGGUACAUGGCCACCUAUAGCCUCACAAGAGACACCAGGUCUCCCAUAACCCAAGCAAGUGGCCUCUCACAACCUGUAGCCUGAACCAGAGGUGCCUCACCCUCUGAGAGCCUGCAUGUGCAUAGGAAAAGAGAUUCAUAAGGCAGAAUCCCCCUCCUCUUCUCAGCCUCCUUAAAAAUGGUGCCUUGCUUCUCCUGUGAGCACAGACCUACUCCUGAUUUCUGUCAGCUGUGUCGUUCCACUCCCCAGUCUGUGACAUACCACUCCCUAGCUCCUCAGGCUGUCUCCACAUGGUCAACCCUAGUCCUCUCCCUGGAACCAUCCUCUGAAGCCUGAGUCUCAGUGCCCAGCCCCCAUAUGAGUGUCUCAGUCUGUGGUGUUCACAGUGGGUGGCGCAGAUGAUCUACGUGGCUCUCACUUUGCUUUGCCCUCUUCAGUCCAGCUGCUGCACUUUUCUGGGUGACUCUGAGGUCCCUCCAUCUCAGCUGAUCUCCUGAUAAGGUGGCUUGCCAGGGUGUGGGUUCCUUUCUUCUUUCACAGCUCCCUCCAGGGGGUGCUAGUCCCAUUCUGAUUCCUUAUCUCUCUCUCCCUUUUUUUUCUUUUGUUCUACCCAGUUAUGUAGAGGGUUUCUUGCCCUUUUUGUUGGUUUAAGUUCUCCUGCCAACAUUCAGUAGAUGUUCUGUGUGAAUCAUUCUACAUGUAGAUGUGUUUUUUUGAUAUGUUUGUUGGAGAAGGUGAACACAAAUGUCUUAUUUCUCCACCGUCUUGAUCCUUCUCUCCAAAUUUUUUAAAAUCACAAGACAUUGCAUGGCAUAACUGUGCUAAUAAACUAUAAAAUAUACAUGAAAUAUAUACAUUUGGAAUACUGACCUUAGCAUAUAUAAACUGUCAAACUAAUUUUCAUAAAAGAAAUAGAGAUAGUUUUUCAAAAUACUAGCCCACAAAAAGCACAAGGAAAAAAUGGUUUCACAAGAGAACUCCAGCAAACCUCCAAAGAUCAGAUUAUUCCAGUGCUUCUAUGUUCCAAAACAUAGAGGGGGAAAUCUGUCUACCCUCCUCCUAAAUACCUCUUUAAUUAUGACCCAUACCCACAACCACUGCCUGAGCUCAGAUCUUCAAAAUCUUUUAUUUGGACACUCCAUUCCUUUUCCCUCUAAUUUUUUCCUGAAAGCUAAUCCUGGGGUGUUAUUUUUUGAAAAUUAAAAUACAAUCACAUUUUACUUACUUUCCAAAUUUAAAUGUAACAGUACUGGAAAAAUUCUGCUAUCAUCUUAAAUAUGCUGACUAAUAAAUCUGGCUAUCAGUAUAGUUUUGGGACAUGUGGGGCUUAAGGGGCCUUUAGUACAAGGUUGCUUCUUUGGAAGACAUAAUGGAACUGAAAAGAUAAGACAGCUGAGGAUGGAAUUCUAGAUAAUAUAUCAAAGGAAAGUAAACAAAAAAAUAAUAAUUUAGUGGGAGAAAGUUGACGGCAUAAAACAGAUCUUCCCAGUGAUUUUGUGGGCUAGCCAGGUAAGUAACCAUCUUCAUUUUGAGAACCUUGUCUCUGGAUAUUUACCUAAGGUCAUAUAAUUAUAUGAUGCAGCAAAAACCAGAGCCCAGAUUACUACCAUGUCUAGCAUUCUGCACACACUGCCUGUCUUCACCCAGUAGUCCUCAGCAAGUUUGUCUUUUGAAAUGUAAAGGCUUCUUAUACUGCCUAGUGUUGAUAUCUCACUUCUCUUAAAUUUUACUCUCCUGAAAAGCAGCAACCAUAUCUUAUGAUACCCUUUAAUCAAUAAGGGUGCCUAGCACAGUGCCUAAUUCAUGCUACAGACUCUUGUGUAAUAGUAACUAUUAUUAUAAUACAUAUUUCCUUAAAUGUAUUAGAUUUCUGUGGAGCCUGGCACAUACUUUUAAAGCUGUUUUGCUGUUGAAAGUGUCAAACAAUAAUCAGUAUUGAGGCUGCAAAGAACAAAAAGCUUUUUUAGGGUCUUGAGAAUUGCAAUUUGAAACACACAGAUAUGGGUGAUACCAAAAGAUUAUCCCAGAGAAGAAAAAGUCAGGAGCUUAAAAAGACAAAAGACACACGGUUGUUAAAUUAUGAGAGAAUUGUGACUGGUUCUGAUGAAAGUCGCGGGAUAUUUGUCCUUAAGGAAUCAUGAGUUGUUUUAGGAUAAGGAUUCAAUAAGUAAAUAGGCUGUCACAUUAUUUUAGGGUACAUAGCCAGUAAGUAUCUUGACUAGGACAGUAAGUGUUCAAAAGGUCAGAUUCCAUCUUGGCAGAGAGGUGCAGGAGUUACACUUCCUCAAUGGCCUCCCAGCUCUUUUUUUUUUUUAAUUUUUUUUCUGAAGCACAUGGAAGUUCCCGAGGGGCUGAGGGUCAAAUUGAAGCCACAUCUGCAACCUACACCACAGCCAUGGCAAUGCUGGAUCUUCAACCCACUGAGUGAGGCCAAGAAUUGGACCUGCAUCCUCAGAGACACGAUGUUGGAUUCUUAACCCACAGAGCCAUAAAAGGAACAAUUCCAGCUUUAUUUUAGAAAGCUCUCUUAGAAAUACUGACUCUAUUUUUAUUUUUCUUCACAAAAGAGAUUUUCUUUCACAAAAGAGAUUGAGAGUAAAUGUGUUAAAUAUAAAACAAUUCACAGGGAGUUCCCUUUGUGGUUCAGCAGUAACAAACCUGACUAGUAUCCAUGAAGGUGUCGGUUUGAUCUCUAGCCUUGCUCAGUGGGUUAGAUAUCUGGCAUUGGCGUGAGCUGUGGUGUAGGUCACAGAUGCAGCUCAGAUCGCUUUGCUGUGACUGUGGCAAAGGCCAUUAGCUGCAGCUCUGAUUUGACCCGUAGCCGGUGAACUUCCAUUAGCCACUUGGGUGGCCCUAAAAAGAAAAUAAAUAAAUAAAUAAAUAAAACAUUGUAUAUAUAUAUAUAGCAACCUUACAACUUACGCUUUUUUUUCCCUUAGGUCAGGGGCAAUUUCAAACAUUUUGUUUCAUUAUCACUAACAAUAAAUGUUAUAGUUCCAAAAAAUAUAGCAACCAAAUACUUGUUAAUAGUUUGAACCAUUGUCCCAUGUAAAAACUGUGCUAUACAGAGAGGUUAAAAAAAAAAAAAAAUACUGUGCUAUAUGUGAAGAGUCAGGAAAACUAUAUGAGGUGGAAAUUACCUUGACUGACUUAGUAAAGUGUUCUCAACUUAAAGUAUAAAUAAUAAUGUGCUUCAUCUUGACUAUUGAUUAUACUUCAUCCCCUCAGGCCAAUACUGAA
rnacentral:lncRNA from 1 species